rnacentral:tRNA from 1 species
CUUAGUUUAGUUAAAAUGCGAGUCUUGGGGGCUUGCGACCCCUUUUAUAGGGAGUUUAGGU